GCAAAACGCGAAGAACCUUACCAAGUCUUGACAUCGGAAUGACCGUCUCGUAACGGAGACUUCCCUUCGGGCAUUCCAGACAGGUGGUGCAUGGUUGUCGUCAGCUCGUGUCGUGAGAUGUUGGGUUAAGUCCCGCAACGAGCGCAACCCUUAUCCUUAGUAGCCAGCAGUUCGGCUGGGCACUCUGGGGAGACUGCCAGGGAUAACCUGGAGGAAGGUGGGGAUGACGUCAAAUCAUCAUGCCCCUUAUGAUUUGGGCUACACACGUGCUACAAUGGCGUAAACAAAGGGAAGCGAAGGAGUGAUCUGGAGCAAAUCUCAAAAAUAACGUCUCAGUUCGGAUUGUAGUCUGCAACUCGACUACAUGAAGCUGGAAUUGCUAGUAAUCGCGGAUCAGAAUGCCGCGGUGAAUACGUUCCCCGGGUCUUGUAC
rnacentral:rRNA from 1 species